UGAGCCUCUCUCACUCGCAGUUGGCACCUGCUAAACCCAAAACCCUGUCUCUUUGCGAGCAAGCCGUCGCCUCUUAUUCAAUUUGACUUAACCAUAAUUGCUUGCUACUUAGGGAAAAACAUGAUAAAGAGGAGAUUUUUUAAAUCAGAGCAUGGAGAGAAGGAUGAAGCUUCCUCUGAUUCAUCAUCAUCUUCUUCGGAUUCUGAAGCUGGCGCUACUGAACAAUCAGAGGAUGAUGUGGUUGCUGACCCAGAAGAAAACAGUGAAUCUGAGGAUGAUGGUACAGUUGCUGAGCCAAAAGUGGAAAGCGAGUCGGAGGCUUCAUCAUCAUCAUCAUCAUCAGGUUAUGAGAGUGAGGAUAGCUCAGCAAAUGUGAUUGAUGGUUAUUCAUCAGAUGAUGAAACUGCAGAUGACAGAGAAACCCGUACUGGCAUUGAAAUACUCAAGAAGCAAUCUAAUGCCACAGCUGAUGAGGAAUCAUUACCAGAUGAUAUUCCAGAUUGUAUAUUAAAGUGCAAAUCAGUUUAUAAGUGCAGGAUCUGCCCUCGAAUUAUCUGUUUGACUGAGGAGACUAUGAGGGCCCAUCUUAGCUCCAAGAGACAUGCUCGAUCUGAGAAAUUGAUGAAGGAAAAUAGGCUGAAGGUAAUGCUUAACAGUGAUGGGGAAAUUGAGAACUUGGACGAGGAGACACAUGCAGAGAGACAUGCUCGAACUGUAGCUCUUGCACAGGGUAAAUCGACAAAGAAAAAUAAAGGGCGGCAGCGGCAAAGGAAGAGAUUAAAAAAGAGGGUAUAAAUCGUCUGUUUGUUUACUUUCAUGUGUACGUUUGAGUUAAAGAGAUUAAAAAAGAGGAAAGAGGGGAAUGCUGCAAGCAUGGAGAAAACAACUUCAAAAACAAAAAGUCCUCCCAAGAAAAGGCGUAAAAAUGAGAAGUGAAGAAAGCUUCAUUUGUGUUUGCUGCUUUAUUUGCAGAGUUACUAACAUGCGGCGUACAUGUACUGUGUUCUCUUAAAUCUUGGCAUGAUAAAUUCCAGCUGACAAUUAUUUGUUUCUUUGUCCCCUUCAACUUUAUGUUUGUAAGAUCUGGCAUUGCACCGGGCUUUCUUUUGUUUGGAUAGCACUGAAAUUUUGCUUAACACUGUGCUUUUCUGGGACAUUAACCGGGUACUAUGUAUAACAGUGUAUUUGCUCUGAUGUCUUUCUUUCAACUCUUCUCCAAGAAUCAAGGCCAAGCUGAAAAGCCUUGUCAAGGUUUAGGCUUCAUUUUGAAA